GACGAGCGCUGGCGGCGUGCUUAACACAUGCGAGUCGAACGAUGAGGCCUAGCUUGCUAGGUGGAUUAGUGGCGAACGGGUGAGUAAUACGUGAGUAACCUACCUUUAACUCUGGGAUAAGCCUGGGAAACUGGGUCUAAUACCGGAUACGACCAAUCUCCGCAUGGGGUGUUGGUGGAAAGCGUUAUGUAGUGGUUAUAGAUGGGCUCACGGCCUAUCAGCUUGUUGGUGAGGUAACGGCUCACCAAGGCGACGACGGGUAGCCGGCCUGAGAGGGUGACCGGCCACACUGGGACUGAGACACGGCCCAGACUCCUACGGGAGGCAGCAGUGGGGAGUAUUGCACAAUGGGCGCAAGCCUGAUGCAGCGACGCCGCGUGAGGGAUGACGGCCUUCGGGUUGUAAACCUCUGUUAGCAGGGAAGAAGAGAGAUUGACGGUACCUGCAGAGAAAGCGCCGGCUAACUACGUGCCAGCAGCCGCGGUAAUACGUAGGGCGCUAGCGUUGUCCGGAAUUAUUGGGCGUAAAGAGCUUGUAGGCGGUUUGUCGCGUCUGCUGUGAAGGCCGGAGCUUAACUCCGUGUAUUGCAGUGGGUACGGGCAGACUAGAGUGCAGUAGGGGAGACUGGAAUUCCUGGUGUAGCGGUGGAAUGCGCAGAUAUCAGGAGGAACACCGAUGGCGAAGGCAGGUCUCUGGGCUGUAACUGACGCUGAGAAGCGAAAGCAUGGGGAGCGAACAGGAUUAGAUACCCUGGUAGUCCAUGCCGUAAACGUUGGGCACUAGGUGUGGGGAACAUUCCACGUUUUCCGCGCCGUAGCUAACGCAUUAAGUGCCCCGCCUGGGGAGUACGGCCGCAAGGCUAAAACUCAAAGAAAUUGACGGGGGCCCGCACAAGCGGCGGAGCAUGCGGAUUAAUUCGAUGCAACGCGAAGAACCUUACCAAGGCUUGACAUAUACUGGAUCGCAUCAGAGAUGGUGUUUCCCUUCGGGGCUGGUAUACAGGUGGUGCAUGGUUGUCGUCAGCUCGUGUCGUGAGAUGUUGGGUUAAGUCCCGCAACGAGCGCAACCCUCGUUCUAUGUUGCCAGCACGUUAUGGUGGGGACUCAUAGGAGACUGCCGGGGUCAACUCGGAGGAAGGUGGGGAUGACGUCAAAUCAUCAUGCCCCUUAUGUCUUGGGCUUCACGCAUGCUACAAUGGCCGGUACAGAGGGUUGCGAUACUGUGAGGUGGAGCUAAUCCCUAAAAGCCGGUCUCAGUUCGGAUUGGGGUCUGCAACUCGACCCCAUGAAGUCGGAGUCGCUAGUAAUCGCAGAUCAGCAACGCUGCGGUGAAUACGUUCCCGGGCCU
rnacentral:rRNA from 1 species